CCACCCCAAUUUGAUGCAGGACGAUACUCCGACGCCUCCUACGCCUUCACGGAUGACUACUAUCAAGAGGCCGGUGCUUUCUUUACUCGUACCGACAACACCCUCCUCAACAUCCAGAACACGCAAGCAGAACAUGGAAGACUCCUGGAAGAGCAACAAAAAUGGAACCAGGACCAUGCCGCUACAGUAGAAGAGCUGAGACAAGAUACAACAACAAUGAACGACAACAUCACAACCAUGAUGCGAUUCUGGAACAUCGGGUAAGACCGACGUCAACAUCCAGCUUGGGGGAGUUCCUCCCAAAUUUAUCAAGUAAGUUUUUAUUUGCUCUUCUUAUUUAUUCUAUUCUGUCUUAGUAUUUAAUUUAUCUUAAAAGGAAAAGCUUAGAAAACCAAAUAAAUAUUUUCUUGCUUUAAUUUACUGCACUUUAUAAACAUGAAAACAAAAUAAAAAGAGUGUGUAGAUAAGUGUGCUUUAUCUUCCUGCUAAGUUUAAUCUCUAGAAAAAUAAAAAGACCAAAAAUAUACAUGAUGGAAAUGAUGAAUAGUUGCUCUGUUUGCUCACUUACAAGUACCUAGCUUUUAUAUUAGAAUUCUUCCAGGAAUUACUAAAACUAAAAUUACUAUCUUUGGGAAAGCAUAAACUAAAGUCUAGGUAAGAGAAAGGCAUGAUAUAAAGUUGAGCUACUGUUUAUCUUGUUCCUACUACACCAAGUUCUAGAGAUUUAUUUUUGAAAACUUACAAAUCACAUGAUGAGUUCCUAGCAUAACAAACUACCUACCACAGCCAUACUUGCUAUAACAUCUUUACUAUAUUCACAUUGAGUUUGAUCGAGCUGUGUUGACCCUUAGGAGCUUUUCAUGUGGUUAAAUUAAGAUAUUCACUUGCACGCAUCUACCACAGCAUUCAUUAUCAAUCAUUAAAAUUGCUAAAAAUAUUAUCACUCACUGUCCCGAAUAUUGUUAUUCUCUCUCUCUAAAAAGAUUCAAUGCAGAAGAGGCAUGGGUUAUGCAAAAAAUAUAUAUAUAUAUAUACGAGGAAAUAAAAAGGGGCAAGUGCCCGGAACCUCGAUAAAAGAAAAAGAGUGAGACGAGAGGUAAAAAUGGACAAGUGUCCGAAGUAGAAUUAGGGGUACAAAGAUGCCCACUUGAGCAGAAAAAAUGGACAAGUGUCCGACAGUAGAAUUAGGGGUAUCCACUACCCACCUGAAAAAGAAAAAAAAGAUAGCCCAUGUUCUCCCAAAGCAAAGAUCAAAGAAGAGGAGAGAUAGCAAUAUGAGGAGCAAUGAGAAGUAAAUUUUAUUAUCACUUAUGCAUUUUCACCAUCACUAUCAUUUACUCCAUCACACAUGC
rnacentral:lncRNA from 1 species